UGGGGAAUAUUGCACAAUGGGCGCAAGCCUGAUGCAGCCAUGCCGCGUGUAUGAAGAAGGCCUUCGGGUUGUAAAGUACUUUCAGGCGGGAGGAAGGUGGUAAGGUUAAUAACCUUAUCAAUUGACGUUACCGACAGAAGAAGCACCGGCUAACUCCGUGCCAGCAGCCGCGGUAAUACGGAGGGUGCAAGCGUUAAUCGGAAUUACUGGGCGUAAAGCGCACGCAGGCGGUUUGUUAAGUCAGAUGUGAAAUCCCCGGGCUCAACCUGGGAACUUCAUCUGAUACUGGCAAGCUUGAGUCUCGUAGAGGGGGGUAGAAUUCCAGGUGUAGCGGUGAAAUGCGUAGAGAUCUGGAGGAAUACCGGUGGCGAAGGCGGCCCCCUGGACGAAGACUGACGCUCAGGUGCGAAAGCGUGGGGAGCAAACAGG
rnacentral:rRNA from 1 species